rnacentral:rRNA from 1 species
UCCUGUAGAUGAAAAGGGUCUUAUACUCUUGGUUGUUAAUCUUGAGUAUUGCGAGAACAUGUAAUCUCGCAAGAAACAUCCUGAACUAUCUAGGAAAGGCUAAAUACUUCUAGUGAUCGAUAGUGAACUAGUACCGUGAGGGAAAGGUGAAAAGUAGCCCGAUGAGGGCGUUGAAAUAGUACCUGAAACCAUAUACUUACAAAGAGUCGGAGUCCCGAUUUAUCGGGAUGACGGCGUGCUUUUUGCAGAACGAACCAACGAGUUUAUGUAUGUUGUUGUUUAAGUCCGAAUAGGAUGGAGGCAUAGGGAAACCGAGUGUUAAAAGCGCGAAUUAUAACAAUAUGCAUAAGACCCGAAGCCAGGUGAGCUACCCAUGGACAGGAUGAACCCCGAUGAAAAUCGGGGGAAGGUCCGAAUCCACCAGCCGUGCAAUACUGGGGAAUGAGCUGUGGGUUGGAGUGAAAAGCUAAUCGAACCUGGUAAUAGCUGGUUCUCCUCGAAAUAUGUUUAGGCAUAGCCUCUUGUUUUUCUCCUUAGGGGUAGAGCACUAAAUUGGUUGAGGUGGCGUAAGCCUACUCACUAAAUUAAACUCCGAAUACUAAGGCAGACAGCAAGGGAGUAAGACCGUGGGGGCUAAGCUCCAUGGUCAAAAGGGAAAUAGCCCAGACCGCCAUCUAAGGUCCCAAAAUUAAAUUAAGUGGUAAAAGAAGUGUUUUGUCUUUGACAGAUGGGAUGUUGGCUCAGAAGUAGCCAUCAUUUAAAGAGUGUGUAACAACUCACCAUUCUAUCCCUUUAUUGGGUAUGAUGAGACGCGCUGAAAAUGUAACGGGGCUCAAAUUUAAUACCGAAGAUGCGGAUCUCCGACCUUGCGUCGGAGGUGGUAGAGGAGCAUUUUUCCAACAGUGAAGGUUCGACGUGAGUCGGGCUGGAGUUGGAAGAAGAGAGAAUGUUGGUAUGAGUAACCACAAGUCCGAUGAGAAAUCGGACCACCGAAAGCCUCAGGUUUCCUUGGCAAUGUAAAUCAGCCAAGGGUUAGGCGGAUCUAAGACAAACCCGAAAGGGGUAGUUGAUGUUCAGUCGGUUAAUAUUCCGACCCUUCUAUAUUUUUUCUACGGAGUGACAGGAUUUAGUAGUUGAAGCAGAUUAUUGGAUUUCUGUUUGUAUGUUAAGAAGCCAAGUUAGGCAAAUCCGGCUUGGAUUACUUCAAGACACUCAAGAAGUUUCGGUUUCGAUCGGAACGACUUUAAUGAGCAAGUCCUCGAGAAAAACUUCUAUGUUCGCCAAUCGGCGAAAGAAAUAUAGAAUCCGUACCGUAAACUGACACAGGUGGGCGAGGCGAGAAGCCUAAGGUGAACGGGUUAACCUUCGUUAAGGAACUCGGCAAAACAACGGCCGUAAGUUCGCAAUAAGGCCUUCCCCGAUUUAUCGGGGACGCAGCUAAAGAUUCCUAGCGACUGUUUACUAAAAACACAGGUCCCUGCUAACUCGUAAGAGGAUGUAUAGGGGCUGACACUUGACCAGUGCUGGAAGGUUAAUAGUGCCGGUUGUGGCCGCAAGGUUACAGCUGAGUGCUUGAAGCCCCAGUGAACGUCGGCGAUAACUAUAAUCGUCCUAAGGUACCGAAAUUCCUUGACAUGUAAGUUAUGUCCUGCAGGAAAAGUGUAACGACUGGGAAACUGUCUCAACGAAGAGCCCGGUGAAAAUGCAAUGUCAGUGAAGAUGCUGACUACCCGCGACAAGACGAAAAGACCCCAGGAGCUUUACUAUAUCUUGGUAUUGUUUUAACGAUUUUGAUGCGUAGCGUAGAUGGUAGGAUUUGAAGUCUCGAUUUUGGUUGGGAUGGAUCCGUCAAUGAAACACCAUUCUUUAAAAUUGUUAAAACUAACCCCUCUUAAUAGAGAGGGACAGUGCCAGGUGGGUAGUUUUGGUGGGGCGCUAGCCUCCUAAAAGGUAACGGAGGCGUUUAAAGGUUGACUAGCUCCGGAUGGAAAUCGGAGUGAUAGUGUAAGAGCAUAAGUCAGCUUUACUGCGAGACUGACAGGUCAAGCAGUUGCGAAAG